CUUUAAUGCCAAUACUGGGGAGGGAGGUGGACCUCUUGUGUUUGAGGACAGCCUGGUCUACAGAGAGAGUUCUAGGACAUCCAGGACUACACAGAGAAAUCCCUUCUUGAAAGACAGAAACAACAAACAACCAAAAGUGCCACAGUUCCUAGAGACCAGACGGGAGACCAUCAGAGACGGAACUGCAGUCUCAAGGAGUCCUGACAGGAGGCUUUAGAGUUCUUGGGAAAUUGGUGAGCACCAAAACAGAUGAA
rnacentral:lncRNA from 1 species